rnacentral:lncRNA from 1 species
AAUAAGUGAAAUAUCAGCCCAUUUUAAAAUAUAUAAAAAAUAAAAAGUUUAUUCCAAAUAUUUUAAGAUGGCAAUUCGUUUCACCGCAGUUUUGGCUUGUCUCGCCGUCAUGGUUGCGGUGGUUUUGGCCCACGACCACAGCAACAUGGCUCCUGCUCCGUCGCAUUCGCCUGCUCCGGCGCCGGCGCCGGCACACUCCGCCGCCUUCGGCUCUUCUCCAUCUGCGGUGGUUGGGUUGUUGGCACUUGCUGUUUCUUUCAUCGGAGCCAUCGGGAAAAGGAUUUGAGAUCAAUAAUUAAUUAUUUCCUUUCAAUUUAUAUAUAUAUAUAUAUAUAUAUAUAUAUAUAUAUAUAUAUAUAUAUAUAUAUAUAUAUAUAUAUAUAUAUAUAUAUAUAUGAGUGUGCUAUUUUGUUGCAUGUUCUUUUUCCCAGUUUUCAAUGUUUAUUAUGUAUUGUGUAAGCGUUGAUCUUUGUUUAAUUAAUUACUGGAUAUUGAUUUAUGAAUUAAGCUGAUCAUGUGUAUAUUUUCAUUUAUAUUUAUUAAUUAUUUUAUGCA